GCACGAGUGGCGGAAUGGUAGACGCGCAGGAUUUAGGUUCCUGUGUCCUAAGACGUGAGGGUUCGAGUCCCUUCCCGUGCA
rnacentral:tRNA from 1 species